UGAAAAAAAAGAAGUUAGUGAAAAGUUUAUAGAAUCAUGUAAAUGUGAAUAAAUUAAAUUAAAUAUAAUGAGCGAAAAAAAAAGAAUGACCAAUCGGAAACGUUUUGAGGAGAUGCGAAGGAUUAGAACGACAUCGGAAGAAUUGAGAAACAGGUCGAGGUCAAGGGCAAACGAUGACGUCAUAUCAAGUAAUACCCUCCCGAGGGAAUAUGGCAUCAAUGAUGAUAAAAUGCCGAGAGGCAUUGAAAAAUAUCCACUUGGAAAACGAGAGAGAAUUGAAAAUGUUCAUAUAAAUGAAAAAAAUGAUGAGAUCGAAGAAACAGGUCGACCGAUACAAAUAAUAUUGGCACAUCCGGAUCAUACUUUUGAACUUGACGAAGAUGCGCUUGCUAAAAUUCUCCUUCAAGAUGAAAUCAAAGAUCGAAGUGUUGUCGUUGUUUCAGUCGCCGGUGCUUUUAGAAAAGGAAAGAGUUUUCUCCUCGACUUCUUUCUUCGUUACAUGAACAGCAAGUAUAAGGAAUUUGAGAUAAAAAACGAUGCUUGGCUGGGUGAUGAGAAUGCUCCAUUGAGUGGAUUUUCGUGGCGCGGUGGCUCUGAACGCGAUACAACGGGAAUUUUAAUGUGGUCAAAGGUAUUUCUCAGUACAUUGCAAAAUGGUGAAAAAGUUGCGAUACUUUUAAUGGACACACAAGGCACAUUUGAUAGUCAAUCAACUGUCAGAGAUUGUGCAACUGUAUUUGCAUUAAGUACAAUGGUAUCAUCGGUACAAAUUUAUAAUCUCUCACAAAAUAUACAAGAGGAUGAUCUUCAACAUUUGCAAUUAUUCACUGAAUAUGGACGAUUAGCAUUGGAAUCAUCUGGUAGUACACCAUUUCAAAGGUUACAAUUUCUUGUUCGCGAUUGGAGUUAUCCUUAUGAGGCAGAUUAUGGUUCUGAUGGGGGACAUAAAAUAUUGGAAAGGCGAUUACAAAUCUCUGAUAAACAACAUCCUGAAUUACAAAGUUUAAGGAAACAUAUCACAUCGUGCUUCUCGGAUAUUUCCUGUUUUCUUAUGCCACAUCCUGGUCUCAGUAUUGCAACAAAUCCAAAAUUUGACGGCAGAUUGUCCGAUAUUGAAUCAGAAUUUAAAAAUCAAUUACGAGUCCUUGUACCAAUGCUUCUUGCACCGGAAAAUUUAAUAACAAAAAAAAUUAACGGUCAAGUUGUAAAGGCAAGAGAAUUAGUGGAAUAUUUCAAAAGUUAUAUUAAAAUUUACAAAGGAGACGAAUUACCCGAACCAAAAAGCAUGCUUGUUGCAACUGCCGAGGCAAAUAAUUUGUCAGCAGUGGCCGACGCAAAGGAAUUGUAUAUGCAAAUGAUGGAUUGCGUUUGCGGUGGUACAAAACCAUUUUUGGCAACCGCUCACAUUGAAUCGGAACAUCAACGAUGUGUGGAUAAAGCUUUACAUCAAUUUCAAAAUAAACGUAAAAUGGGCGGCGAAGAAUUUAGUCAAAUGUAUAUGGAAAAAUUGAUAAAGGACAUGGACGAUGCUUUCCUUCAAUUUAAAGCGCAUAAUGAGAGUAAAAAUAUAUUUAAAGCAGCAAGAACUCCAGCAGUGUUUUUUGCUAUUGCAAUUACAAUGUACAUUUUUUCUGGUAUUUUCGGACUAGUUGGUCUCAAUACACUUUCUUAUGCGUGCAACGUCACUAUGGGCGUUGGUUUACUAACUUUAGCAUUAUGGGCAUACAUCAGAUAUAGCGGUGAAUUGAGAGAAGUCGGAACUAAAAUAGACGAACUGGCCAGUGCUCUUUGGGAAAAUGCCUGGCAAUGCGCUCAUCUCGUUCACAAAAUGAGAUAUCUAAUUCUUUGUAUUUUUUUGUCCAUUUUUUUAAUGCCCGCUUAUACUUUCGCUUAUUCACAACUUCGUAAACAUCGUCUCAUCUGAUCUCCACUUGUUUUACAUUUUACUUACACUGACUUUGUUUUAUAUUCACAUUAAAAUCAAUAUUAAGAAAAAAUCGCACUUUUCGUUCAACUAAUAUUGUAAUAUUGAUAUACAUUUUUUUUUUUUUUCACUUCAAUUUUUUUCUUAAUUUUCAUAUUUGGCUGAUUUUAUUUUUUUCUUUCAUUUCUCCCUCCCCCGCAAUCCUUAAUGAACGAUAUUGAGUGCUAGAGGAAUUAUUGUCGCUUAAAAAAAGCUCAUGAAACCACUUUAUCAGCAAUUCAUGGAAAAAUCUGUUAGUGUAGCAGUUGCACGUGGUGCGGAAAUGGCGACAAAUUCGACGAUUAAUGCAACGAUCGCAUCGAAUGGUAAAAUGAAAUUAACUUAACGAUCGAUCGUGACCGUGAUUUUUUUUUUUUUUAAUAUAUAUAUAUGUAGAUUAAUUCCAAGUUUCUUAUAUUAUAAAUGCAAACAAAUUCUCUCACGCACACACACACACAUACACGUUUUAAUUGAAACAUUUAAUUAGCAAAUUAUUUCUUAAACUUGGAAAUGAAAAAUUCGAAAAGAAGAGCAGAAAAAAAAUUCUUAUAACUAUUUAAAAAAAAAAAAGAAAAAAGUUAUCUUUUGUAAAAGUCAAUGUGUAGUGUACAUUAAAAAGUCUGGUUGUAAAUCAGUGUUAGAUUGUUGAAAAAUCGCGGGAUAUUUCUAUUAUAUAUAUAUAUAUAUGUCACUAAUAAUUUUAUAUAUAUUGUCCUGUUAUAGAAAAGAAAAAGUAUGAAUCCUUCGUAUAUAUAUAUAUAUUUAUUAGUGUAUAACUAAUUUUUAAAUUUUUACGUAACAUCAAAAUUUUAAAUCGAAAAAAAAUUUACAUAUUAUUAAAUAUAAAAAAAAAAAAACUUAUUUUUUGUCUUUUGCUCAAAUUAAAAAUUUCGAUAAGCCACUAUUAUCGUAUUUUGUUACGUAUUUUAUAUAUUAUAUGUUCAUCUAUUUUCAAGAGAAUUUUUCAUUAUAAGUUUAUACAUAAGAAAAAUAUCAUCUUUGUGUGCCAGAAACAUUUUACUAUAUAGAAAACAAUUUUUGCAAUGAAUGGACCAAGUCCCUUUUUUAUUUUUAAGUUUUUUUUUUCUUUUUUUUUUUUAUUAACUUUUGUUUAAUUUCAUAAAAUUGUCUCACUCUCGAAAACAGAGUUUCUUAUUUAUUUAGUCGAAUAUAAUAAUAAUAAUAAUAAUAAUAAUAAUACAUAAUAAUAGUAACACAAACUCUGAAUUCGUAAGUGACAUUGCAAAGAUAAAUUUUGUCUUUGCAACCAAAGACCCAAAAAAAAAAAAAAAAAAUGGAAAUAACAAUUUUUUUUAGAAUUUAAUUCUUGCCAAGACAACAAAUAAAAGGAAAAAAUAAUAAUUAACGACUAUAUGUAAAUAAAUAAAAAAAAUUUAACUAUUAUUGUUUUUGGUCUACACUCUUGAGAAAAGAGAAGAAAAAUUUGUUUAUUAGUAAUUUUCAAUAUUUCGACAAUAAACAUUUUUUUGAAGACAGAAAUUUAAUUAAAUUUUCCUGUAUUUUUGCGAAAAUUGAAAUAAAAAUAUAAAAGACAAAUUUUCAAGAGGGUAGAUGAAACAAUUUUUUUUUUUUUUUUUUUUUUCUAGAAUAUUAAGAUACUCCGGUGGCAUAUAUUAUUAUUAUAAAUGUAAAAAUAUAGAUUACAAUAAUCAUGAAAAGCAAGAAAAAAAGGAAAAAAUUAUUAUUAACUAUAACGAUGAAAGUGGGGUGAAGGUUUUUUUUUUUAACUUGUACUAAUUGUGUGAUUUUUUUCCAAGUUAUAAUUUGUUUUUUCUCUCAAAACUUUAUUAUUAAAAGCACUAUUAAAAAAAAAAGAAAGAGUGCCAUGAAACUAGGAUUUUAUUUCUUAAAUUAUCACAGAAUUUUUAUAAUAUAAAAAUACAUAUUGUUAAAUAAAAAAAAUAAUAAAUAACGAGUAAAUCACUUAUCAUUUUAAAUGCAUUUUGAUUUUUUCUCACUGUGUUUUUAAGAUAUAAAUAGAAUAAAGGUAGUUGUGUUUUUGCGACUUUUUAAAAAUAAUAUAUAAAAAAUGUUUAACAAUCAUUUCGAAAAUAAGGCGAAAAAAAAUUCAAUUUAUGGAAACUCUGGUCACGAUUGUGUAUUUUCAAAAAAAAAUAUAUAUAUACGUCCAAAAAAAAAAAAGUGAAAAUUAUAAUUUUUUUUUUUUUGUUAAAAUUCUGUUAUUGUUCUUUUUAAGUUGGAAUGAAUGUAACGCUCUCUAAAUUUGAGAAACUCGAUGUGUUGAUAUUGUGGUGUAAGUGAUCAUGGGUGGAAAUAAAUGUGUAUUUUUAUAAUUAA